rnacentral:lncRNA from 1 species
GCUUUUCUCACGCUUAAACCACCCUGAAGUGUAUGUACGCCAGAGUAUUUGUAACCUCCUUUGCCGUGUAGCCCAAGAUUCCCCUCACCUCAUAUUGUAUCCUGCAAUAGUAGGAACCAUAUCACUUAGCAGUGAAUCCCAGGCUUCAGGAAAUAAGUAUUCCUCUGCAAUCCCAACUUUACUUGGAAAUAUUCAAGGAGAAGAACUGCUGGUUUCUGAAUGUGAAGGAGGAAGUCCUCCUGCUUCUCAGGAUAGCAACAAAGAUGAACCUAAAAGUGGUUUAAAUGAAGAUCAGGCCAUGAUGCAGGAUUGCUACAGCAAAAUUGUAGAUAAACUAUCCUCUGCAAAUCCAACGAUGGUUUUACAGGUCCAGAUGCUUGUGGCAGAGCUACGUAGGGUCACUGUACUCUGGGAUGAGCUCUGGCUGGGAGU